AUCCAGUUAGAAAUAGCAGAGAGGCAGUCAGAGACACUAGUCAAGAAGGACGGGGAGAGAUCAGGAGGGGACAGAUAGAUUUGCGUGUCAUCCGCAUAGAAAUGAUAUUGGAAGCCAAAGGAGCUAAUGAGUUUACCAAGGGAGGCAGUAUAGAUGGAGAACAGUAGGGGACCAAGGACUGAACCUUGGGAGACACCAACAGAGAGACGUUUUGGGAGAAGAAGCAGAACCAGAGAAGGUGGGAGGGAUUAAAACCUCACUCCAAACCCAAUCACCACAUUCUGCAUGAGGAAGGAAUCUGUGCAGUAUUUCAAGCAGAUAUAUUUGACCUGCAGGCUACUUACACAUUUGACUCUAUUAUAGACUGUUUAAUGUUAAUUCAUGAGAAGCAUUUGAUGG